rnacentral:rRNA from 1 species
ACACUGAAUGGAGGACCGAACCGACUUACGUUGAAAAGUGAGCGGAUGAACUGAGGGUAGCGGAGAAAUUCCAAUCGAACCUGGAGAUAGCUGGUUCUCAUUCGAA